GAAGGGACCCUAAGGAUCAUCUGGUUCCAAGCUGAGCAGCCUCCCAGCACAGCAGGUUGCUGCGGCCCCUGUCCAAGCUGGCCUUGGAUGUUGGUGGGCAUGGGGCUUCCACAGGCUCUCUGCGCUGGUCCCAGUGUCAGGGACAAGCACCCUGACAGGAAAGAGACAGGAAAGAACUUCUUCCCUUCAUCAAAUGGAUUCCAGCUCUUGCAGUUUGAUCCCAUUCCCCCUUGUUCUGUCACUUCAGUUGCUGACAAAGAGUCCUCUCCCACUUCCCUGUGGGUCAGGCUGUCCCUGCAGUGUCACACAUGUGGCUGAAGCUGCAGCCAGGAGAGAGAGAAGCCAAGCUGCCAGAGAGAGGCAAUGGGGAAAGUGACAUGAGAGGUGAGAGAAGAAGGAAAAAGUAGAGACAUGCAAGUCAUUGGGUUGGGUGAUUUGUGGCAUUCAUGCCUUUUAUUAGAGGCCAGGUUCUCUGGUGCACUCAAUGACUGUGUGAUUGCGGCGUGUCCACAGUGAGCCCGUGUGAGCGAGCUGCACUCCCAGAGGCCGGAGCACACUUGCUUCAAGUGCGGAUGAAUGAGGCCAGAGACGGGUCUUUGUGUGGGACUCCAAACGCUGUGCAUUGCCAUGAAGAGGGUUGUCCUGGGUUGACUAUAUGAUGCUUUCAUCCCCAAUCGUCUUGUUCUGUUUAUACUGAAUAAUAAGUUUUACACCUUUAAGACUCUCUUCCAGACAGUCAAGAGGGGAGGGAAGAAGGGCGCAGUUUGUUUUCAGACUGCUCUCACUCCUCCACAUUCCUGCUCCUGGACUGUGUUGUCUGCGGAUGGACAGACAGCCGGACAGAGCUCCUUUUUUCCCUUUUACUUGCUUUUAGUUAGUUUUAGCUAGCUGAGGCAAAGAAGUUCUCCGGAUUGUGAUUUUUUUUCCUUUUUUCUUGGACCUGUUCAAGCCUGCUCUGGACUGAACACCCAGAAGAGCACCGGCAGCUCCACCUGUGGCCCCUGGCCAGGCCUGGGCCGCGGCGUUUCCAGCACCAGAGACUGAUCAGAAACUGAGUGAGCCGAGCUGCAACCAGGGGAGAGGACUAUUCUGAGUUUGCUUUCCUUGGAUCAGUGAGAAGUUUUAUUGUUUAAUAUUGUUUGGUUUCUAUUGUUUAAUAAACAGGUUUCUUUCCACUUUUCUCCAAAGAAAUAUUUUCUCCUGAACCGGUUGGAGGGGGGAGGGGCAAUUGGAUCUGCUUUUGUAGAGAAGCCCCUUUGGGAGUUAUCUCCCAAACUUGCCCUAAACCAAGUCAAAUACAGCUAGUGGCGCCCAAUGUGUGGCUUGAGAAUGUGGAAAAAAAACCUUUAUUGAUUGUAGGUUUGUUGUGCUUGGUGUGUAGUAGGUUAAAGUACCCAGUAGCCAUGUUAUUUGAAUUUGUAAUGUCUCUUGGGGAGGCCUUUAUGUAGCUCUGGUCUCUAGACCUUUUUGAGGUUUCAAUACCUUUCUGGUCACUAGGAUUAUUGUCCCUAUCACGUAGUUUUUGCGGUAAAGGGGCAUGGAUUAGGUUAGCUAUUGUGUUAGCCUUGGUGAUAAUGAUUUAUAAGGCGUUUACAAAAAUACUGGCGUCUGUUUACGAUAUGUAUGGUUUAUGGUUUCUUCGUCCUAUCCUGCAUCCCAGUUCUAGCAGUAUGUUUUGGGAAUUUAUUAGUAAUUGCACCCAGCUGGUUAGAGGAGGAGCAGGGAAUGAGGCUUUCCAGCCUUUCCUUUCCUUCUUCUCCUUUGAAUCUGUUAUGUCACUUGUAGAGAAUGUUCAGUUUCCCCUGAAUAUUAAAGAGACCAUCUUUCUGGUAUUUAAUCUGGUAGGCUUCCUCUAUAUGGUCUGCAGCUUCUCUAGAAUCAGGGCUGAGAUGUCUAGAAGAGCUGAUGAGACCCCUGACCCAGAAGUAGACCCACGUGUGGAGAAUCCUGAGUGGGGUGGAGAAUGGGAAAAUAUGAGCCAAAUCCUGAAAGAAUUCUCUGACCCUAUAGUCUGGGACUUUCCCCAUGAACAAAUUCAGAACCCAGCUGAGGUGGAGAAAUAUCUGAAAGAGAAGUAUCAUGAUGACCCUAAAAAGAAAAGGAUCAUUGCAGUGAGCUGGGCCCUGGCAUAUGCUUAUCGCACACUGCUAGAUACUCUAGGGCAGCAGACCGAGGAAGAGGGGCAGGGAGAUACAUCAAGAGCUAUCCCAGUCACUCAGGCUGCAGCCAACACCCCAGGCUCAAAGCCAGCAGCUAAACCACAUAGUGAGCCUAAGCCAGCAGUUAAACCAGACAAUAAGCCUCAACCAAUGGCUGUUGCUACUAGCACUAGAAGUGGGAAGUGCACAGACAAGACCGAUCGACCAGUGGAUGAUGAUGAUGAUGAUGCAGGAGAAGGACCCUCAACAUUUCCUGACAUAAAAUCAGGAGUCAAAGCAACUGGCACAAGAUCAGAAGCCAAUAUUGAGUCCUUCUCCCUGAAGGACCUGCAUGGCCUAAGGAAGGAUUACACCCGACUAUCUGAUGAAUCCAUAAUUAGCUGGUUAGUCCGUCUUUGGGAUGCUGCAGGUGAGGCUACAAUUCUGGAUAGCACGGAAGUGAGGCAUUUGGGAUCCCUGUCACAUGAUCCUGUCAUCGACCAAGGCAUGAUGAGGGGGGCUAACCCUCACAGCCUUUGGGCACGGGUCUUGGACAGUGUAGCGCAAAAAUACCUGUGUGCCGAUGAUCUCUACAUGCAGCAAACACAGUGGAAGACCAGAGAACAAGGGAUUCAACGCCUGAGAGAAAUGGCAGUGGCGGAGAUUAUCUUCUCAGAUGACAUAACAACUAGGAAUCCAGACUUGGUACCAUGCACAUCUGUGGUGUGGCGAAAACUGGUACGACUUGGGCCACAUGAAUAUGCUUCUGCUCUAGCUAUCAUGAAGCGGGAUGACACGGAUGAGACCCUGCUUGACAUGGCAAAGAAGCUCCGAGCUUAUGCAGAUGCUGUACAUGUCCCAACACAUGCCAGAAUUGCAGUGGUGGAAACACGUCUGCAGAGAUUAGAGGAUAAGAUAGAGGAGAAUCAUAAGAAGCUCAGAGAGGAGAUUAAAGAAGACCUUCUCCAAAUCUUGGCAGUACAGAUCAGCACUGUGGGGCUGUCACAAAGGUGACUGGGAUGAAGAGAAUAAUGAUUCUCCCAUUUGGCAAAGCCCCCAUGCCUGUGAAUUUGGCAUUUAUUCAGGAAUUUAGCUGCUUGAGCUGGGCUUCUGGUGGGACUUUCAGCAGCCUUGUGUUCCUCACCUUGGGGUGAAUGAACCUUGUCAGACUCACUGGUAACAUUUGCUCCCUUUCCUCCAGUGUUUUUAAGAAACUUUUCAAGGAAGGACAAGAAAACAUUUUCUUUCCACUGGCCACCGAGCCACCUACAGCCUUUUUCCUCAUCAGUUCUCCCAUAAGUUGCUCAGAUGAAGCUGCAUCCAAGUUUCCAAGAGUUCAUCCAGAGAGAACCACAACCUCCUCAGAGGAGGGAACCAUGCUGUUGUCAAAGGCACUUGGGGGCAGUGUCUAAACUCACUGUGCCCAAAUAAUGUUGCAGUCUGGUUAAGAAAAUUGUCAGAGAGAUGCUUCUGCCCCAAUUAAGGUGCUAAGGAGACCAAAUCCAAAGUGGAUUUUAUUGAACAGGAAACGUGAGGUAGAGAGAGACAUGGAAAGAAAGAGAAAAAGAGAGAAGAAGGGGUAGGGCAAGGUAGUGAAGGGGACAGAGACCUCCCCUGGCAGGGCAAGUGUGACAUUGUCCCCUGUGUGUGUGGCUUUCCUGGGGUGAGGGUUUUACACCUGAGCCAGUUUGGGUAAGGGGGGUGGUGUUCACCCCCCCAGCAGGGAUUACCCCACUGUUUCAGGUUGCAGUGCAAGAUGUAACCAAAUGCAUGUUUUCCAUGACCAUCUUGACAAACUUAUAAACAGGCGGGGCAGUUUUCUUUAUCUCUUCCAUGACUCAGCCCUGAUAACGCCCCCCAGGGGCUAUCUUCUGUUAAUGGGCCAUUGAGUGUCCCUGCAGGACUGGUAAAAUGACAUCAUCCCAUUGUGGGAUGCUCCGCCCAGGGGGAGGAGCCAGGCAUUCCUACCUGGAUAUAAGCUGAGGCUUGCAGCCCCAGGAGCACCUUGCCUACUGGAUUCCCAGAGCACAAGAGCUCCAUAAGCACCACUGGACCUUCAGAGGAAGACCAGACCCUUCUACAGGAUCACUGCUUUGACAGAAUCACGUUCAUCACUGCAACAGGACUGCAGCCACCAUUUAACGGGACUGCUACCACCACCCGGACCAACAGGGUGCCGGGUUAGAUCCUGACUCUGUCAGUUUAAGGCAGUGUAUCAUUGCGUUGACCUUAUUGUAAUUCUGGCUUAGACUCUCCCCCUGGUUUGCCUUCAAAGCAGUACAAAACUCAAUGUACUCAUCUCUUGCUUUCCUCCCAGAACAGAAUUUCCCAUCCCAAACUCUUUCCCAGAUGGAGGAGGAAGCUGUGAGGAAGAUGAAGAUGCCCUGGGACACCCAGGCAGACAAUGACCUGAGGAUGGAGACCAGUGAGGACAAAACCCCAUGGCACAACUUCGUAGCAGAGGCCAUUUUGAGAAGCUCCACAGCACAGGAAUACAACAGGGAAGAAAAGCCCCAGAGAUCCCACAGGAAGAGGGGCUGCAAACCCAGCCCAGGCUACUAUGAAAAGGAAAGACCCACCCUGAGCCAGGAAGGUGGACAGAGCUUCAGCCAGAGCUUGGAGCUGGUGGUCCAGGAGCAGCUUCCUGAUGGGGCUAAGCCCCACAAGUGCUUGGAGUGUGGGAAGAGCUUCAGGCAGAGCAGCACCCUGAUUAGCCACCAGAGGAUCCACACUGGGGAAUGGCCCUACAAGUGUGGGGAGUGUGGGAAGGGGUUCAGCUACAGAUCCACCCUUGUGACUCACCAACGCAUCCACACCGGGGAGAGGCCCUAUGAGUGCCCUCAAUGCCAGAAGAGGUUUCGGAUCAGCUCAGAUUUCCUCCUGCACCAGCGGAUUCACACCGAUGAGAGGCCCUUCUGCUGCCCAGAUUGUGGGAAGGGCUUCAAGCGCUACUCCCACCUCAUCAGGCACCAGCUCAUCCACUCCGGGGAGAGGCCCUAUGAGUGCCCCCAGUGUGGGAAGAGGUUUCAGACCAGCUCCAAUCUCCGCCUGCAUGUACGGAUUCACACAGAUGAGAGGCCCUUCCGCUGCCCCGACUGUGGGAAGAGCUUCAAGCAGAAAUUCACCCUCGUCAGGCACCGGCGCAUCCACACUGGGGAGAGGCUCCACGAGUACCCCACAUAUGGGAAGAGCUUCACCCAGAGCUCUGACUUGACCAGCCAGGAGUCACCAGUAAGGGAUGUCCUGCCAGUGCCCCAACUGCAGGAAGAGAUUGAUGAACUGCUCCAGCUUCUUCCCCCAUUGGAGGACCCAUAUUGGAAAGAGCCCUGUGACCCAUGGUGGGAAGACAUCUGUUAAUUUUCCUGCCCCUGCCAAUGACGUGGUGUGAGAUUGAAGAACAUGAGGGUCUGGCCAUGGCCCUGUCAUCACAUUCACUUCCACCUCAGGUCAUUGCCAGGGGCAGGAAAGGGACUCUCUCUCUCUCUCUCUCUCCCUGAGUGUGGUAUUCACAUGCCUUCUGAACAUGUGAAUGUUUGAAGCUGUGAGACAAGCAGAGAAGAAGGAAAACAUAAUUAUUACCUCUCUUGCUGUGCCUGUGUUGUGCUAAAGUAGAAUGCAAUAUGGAGAUUGUUUACUGUUGUGUUGUGUUUUUCAGGUUCUUAAGCUAAGUUGUAUAUUGUAAGUUGGUUUGUUCCAUUCGCCCCUGUGGUUGUGUAAUGGUUCUACCCAGGUUGUCUCCUCCCCUGCAAUCCUUGUCAGUCCCCCUGUCCCCUCCCCUGUUACCCCAGUUAACAUUAUAUCCUUUGUUUUGUCGCACCCUGGUGCUUUGUCUGUCACUCAGCAACCCAUCCUCUCUAUCUAGAAGCUUCUCUUCUGGGCACCAAGUGAUUGGUUCAGCGGCUGGGGCCCUUCCCCUAGUCACUCCCCAUUGGUCCCGUAGCAGUGUCCUUCUUUCCUUUUCCACUCCCUCCUGCUCCUCUAUUGGUUGGAGGGCAGGCUCCACCCCUGUUGCCACCUCCCUUUAUAAGUUGCUGUAAGCCCUUUUCCCACUGUCUUCAGCUUCUGGACGCACCUGGACUUUUCAUCUCACUGCUGCUCCCAAUAACCCUGUUUCACCAGAAGUCGGAACCCGCUUUCUUCACUCCUGUUGGCAUCGGCCCAGAGUCCGUCAAGGCAUUUGUGCCUAAGGCUCUCUCCUUGCAAGCGCAAGUGAGGAGAGUGCCCCCCACACCUCGCUGUCACUCACAUGCUAAAAAGCUAGCCUGGGGCAGCCCUCAAGAUCUCCAUCUGGACCUGCUGUGGGAGUGACCUCUUGAAACCACCUGGCCGUGAAGCUUCCUCCAGUAGGAGAAGACCCAUCUCUGGUGGGUGGCACUCCUGGAGGCUCGAGGAGGCAGCUCCUGCACCCGAGGAGUCUUCCCCUGACAGGAACCACCCCCUUUGGUCUUUUGUUCACCUAACACUGGAUUUUUCCUGAGAGGGGGCCCGAGUUGAAGUGGUGUCGAAUUCUGCGCCUGACUGUAAGUGGUGUCCUCUCCCCUUUUCACCUCCUUCUUGUUCCCCUGUCUCUCUACCCCAGAUCCUUUCUAUUGUUGAAGGGUCGGGGCAUCCUGAGUUCCUUUCAUUUACUUUGAGCCAGGUCUUUUUAACUUAGCACCUUUGCCUCUUUUUCUCUGCUGUGCAGCCACCAUCUUUUUUGACAGGGGCCGGUGUGGGUUUUUCUGCCUUUUCCUUUUAUAUUUUCUUACGGGUGGUGGGUAUUGGUUCUCUCUCUUAACAUCAUAAGCCAUGGGUGCGAGGCUUUCUGGGAUCCAGAAAACAGUGUUUAUCCAAGUUGAGGGAAUCCUUGCGGGUGGGGAUGUUCAUGUUAAAAAGUGAGAAUUAAGAAAGUUAAUUGUUUGGUUGUUUUCUCAUUUCCUGGAGGUUACCACUGGCCAAUUGUAUGGGGUCGAUUUUUGGGAUGUAGUCAUUGCAAAGUUGGCAGAAUUAGGACGGUCAGGGAACUCCUCCCUUUCUAAGAUCAUUUUCUGGUUUCACCAAGUAAGAGCCAUUUUAAAUUCAAGGUGGGAAUGGAGAAAGCAACCGGCAGUUAACACUUUAAUCCCCAUUUCAUGUGGUUCUCCCCGUCCUACCCCUCUUCCCUCUCCCGUGUUCCCAAAAGGUGAAAUCUUGAAGGGAGCUUCCACAGUUGUCCCAGAUUGGGGUCCCUAUCUGCCCGGCUCUCUACAAGGUUCUCACCCCUCCCGCCCAAGAAGUCCCACUACAAACCAAGGCCUAACCCGGCCCUGGCCCCACAUGGGCAUUCCAAGCAUCCCAAGGUGUCUCGGGACAUUGAUCUCAUCCUGCCUCUGACAGCGACCACAGUGACUGUACGGAACCUCAUGGAGCCAGGGGUCAGUUGUGACAACGCGGGUCCAAGGACACCAUGGUGACACUACGGAACCUCAUGGAACCAAGGGGCCACUGUGACACUCUGGUGCCUCAUGCAAUCAAGGAGAUCAUUGUGAAACUCGGGGCCCCAAGGAACCAAGGGUCCAUGGUGACCUUGUGGAUCCUGUAGUGUCACAGAGAAGCCAUUGUGAUACAGCGAGGGGGCAUGGAGCCGAGGGGCCAUGGUGACACAUCAGGGCUUUGUGGGAGCAUGAGCCAUUGUGACGUUGCAAGGUCUCAUGGAAGCACGGGGCCAUUGUGACACUGCAGAAGCAGGGGGAACAUUCUGACACUCCAGGGCCUCAUGAAACCAAGGAGACCAUUGUGACACUCUGGGGUCCCACAAAACCAAGGGAACAGGGAACAGGUCUGGCUGGCUGGGCCUCCUGGGGACCACCUGACAGGUCCAGCUGACCUUGGCAUGUUGAGGGCUUCUUCUCAUCUGUCCCUGGAGCACUGGGGCUCUGGGCUUUCCUUCUUAUGAGAGAGAAGUGUCCUUCUCCUCCAAGGCCCCAUGGCCAAAAUUUGGAUUCCUUCUCCACAUUUCCUUAUAUGCAAAGGUUGUUUCCAGAUGAAAUCCGCCAGGAGUGACAGAUCUGGUUGCCUUGGCCAUCCAGGGGCCAUCUCUCAUCUGUCUUUGAAACACUGGGACCAUGUGCUUUUCUUUCUUAUGGGAAAAAAACAUCCAUCCCGACCAAGUACACAUGGCCAAAAUUGGGCAUCUGUCUCCAGCAUUCCCUAUAUCCAAGGAUAACUCUGAGACAAAAGCUGCCAGGAGUGACAAGUCUGGCUGGCCUUGGCUUCCUGAGGGCUGGCACUCAUCUGCCUCUGAAACACUGAGGCUCUGCGCUUUCUUUCUUCAUAGAAAGAACUAUUCCUGUCCACGUAUCCACAGCCAAAAUUGAGAUUUCACCACCUCCAAAAUGCUCUAUGUCCAAGGAUAGCCCCUAGACAAAAGCUGCCAGGAGAGACAGGUCUGGCUGUCUUGGCCUAAGGGUGGCUACCUCUCAUCAUCUUCCAGAACACUUGGACUUGGCACUUCUCUUUCCUGUA